AAGAGACGGAUGAAAUUAAGUAUUACACAGAUCUUCUAAAACGGAGAAACCACGAGCUGUACACGAAGUUUCCCCACAUGUCACGAUCAAAGCACCUACCGAAGAAUCUUAUCAAAAUAAUAGCUAUAUAAGCAGUCCUUUAGCAAUCAAUCUUUCUAUAUUCUUUCUUCAUUUUGAUAUUUUGUCUUUCUUUCCUAUUCUGCAAUUACAAUGUCGCAGCUGGUGGACAAGGCGAAGAAUUUUGUGGCGGAGAAGGUAGCCAACAUAAAAAAGCCGGAGGCUACCGUCUCAGACGUGGAUCUGAGUAGCGUCCACCGUGAUCGCGUAGAAUACAACGCCAAGAUUUCUGUCAAUAACCCAUACGGGCAUCCUCUUCCCAUUUGCGAGGUCUCCUACACUCUCAAAAGCGAUGGCAGAGUGAUUGCAUCAGGGAAUAUGCCUGACCCUGGAUCACUGAAGGCAAGUGACAUAACAAUUCUGAAUGUGCCAGUGAAUGUGCCGCAUAGCAUACUAGUGAGCCUGGUGAGGGACAUUAGCAGAGACUGGGACAUAGACUAUGAAUUAGAAGUGGGUCUCACCAUUGACCUUCCUAUCAUUGGCAACUUCACCAUUCCCCUCUCUAGUAAAGGCGAGGUGAAGCUCCCCACCCUCUCUGAUUUCUUCUGACACCCUCGCCUAUUCUGGCUUAUGCCUUCUUCUAUAUCUUGCUUUUGUUACCAAUCAAAGACCUUUCAUUACUAGUGUGAGAUAUGGUACUGUAAACUUGUGAAUGUUUGAACUCUGAAAGACCUGUUGUUGCUGUCUUCACACAGAUUUAUGUUUGAAUCAUUUUCUUCAUGAACGAAGAUAGAUGCAUGUGUUUUGCUUUGAGCA
rnacentral:misc_RNA from 1 species